rnacentral:rRNA from 1 species
CCUAAGGUAGCGAAAUUCCUUGUCGGGUAAGUUCCGACCUGCACGAAUGGCGUAAUGAUGGCCAGGCUGUCUCCACCCGAGACUCAGUGAAAUUGAACUCGCUGUGAAGAUGCAGUGUACCCGCGGCAAGACGGAAAGACCCCGUGAACCUUUACUAUAGCUUGACACUGAACAUUGAGCCUUGAUGUGUAGGAUAGGUGGGAGGCUUUGAAGUGUGGACGCCAGUCUGCAUGGAGCCGACCUUGAAAUACCACCCUUUAAUGUUUGAUGUUCUAACGUGGACCCGUGAUCCGGGUUGCGGACAGUGUCUGGUGGGUAGUUUGACUGGGGCGGUCUCCUCCUAAAGAGUAACGGAGGAGCACGAAGGUUGGCUAAUCCUGGUCGGACAUCAGGAGGUUAGUGCAAUGGCAUAAGCCAGCUUGACUGCGAGCGUGACGGCGCGAGCAGGUGCGAAAGCAGGUCAUAGUGAUCCGGUGGUUCUGAAUGGAAGGGCCAUCGCUCAACGGAUAAAAGGUACUCCGGGGAUAACAGGCUGAUACCGCCCAAGAGUUCAUAUCGACGGCGGUGUUUGGCACCUCGAUGUCGGCUCAUCACAUCCUGGGGCUGAAGUAGGUCCCAAGGGUAUGGCUGUUCGCCAUUUAAAGUGGUACGCGAGCUGGGUUUAGAACGUCGUGAGACAGUUCGGUCCCUAUCUGCCGUGGGCGCUGGAGAACUGAGGGGGGCUGCUCCUAGUACGAGAGGACCGGAGUGGACGCAUCACUGGUGUUCGGGUUGUCAUGCCAAUGGCACUGCCCGGUAGCUAAAUGCGGAAGAGAUAAGUGCUGAAAGCAUCUAAGCACGAAACUUGCCCCGAGAUGAGUUCUCCCUGACCCUUUAAGGGUCCUGAAGGAACGUUGAAGACGACGACGUUGAUAGGCCGGGUGUGUAAGCGCAGCGAUGCGUUGAGCUAACCGGUACUAAUGAACCGUGAGGCUUAACCUU